rnacentral:rRNA from 1 species
UACGGGGGGGGCAAGCGUUGUUCGGAUUUACUGGGCGUAAAGGGCGCGUAGGCGGCGCGACAAGUCACUUGUGAAAUCUCCGGGCUUAACUCGGAGCGGCCAAGUGAUACUGUCGUGCUAGAGUGCGGAAGGGGCAACUGGAAUUCUCGGUGUAGCGGUGAAAUGCGUAGAUAUCGAGAGGAACACCUGCGGCGAAGGCGGGUUGCUGGGCCGACACUGACGCUGAAGCGCGAAAGCCAGGGGAGCGAACGGG